rnacentral:rRNA from 1 species
UAGGGAAUAUUGGUAAUGGGCGCAAGCCUGAACCAGCAACGCCGCGUGUGCGAUGACGGCCUUCGGGUUGUAAAGCACUUUUGAUCGGGACGAGGAAGGACGGUACCGGUCGAAUCAGCCUCGGCUAACUACGUGCCAGCAGCCGCGGUAAAACGUAGGAGGCGAGCGUUAUCCGGAUUUACUGGGUGUAAAGCGCGUGCAGGCGGCUCGAUAAGUUGGAUGUGAAAGCUCCUGGCUCAACUGGGAGAGGUCGUACAAGACUGUCGGGCUUGAGGAUGGUAAGGGAAGGUGGAAUUCCGGGUGUAGUGGUGAAAUGCGUAGAUAUCCGGAGGAACACCAGUGGCGAAGGCGGCCUUCUGGACCAUGACUGACGCUCAGACGCGAAAGCUAGGGUAGCAAA